UCCAAGGAAUUGUCUGUGAUAGGGAGGUAUCGAAGCACAGAACUGGGGAAAGGUACAGAAUUAUUCUGCAGCGUAGACGAUCCCAAUGAGCACAGUGGCCUCCAUCAUCCAUACAUGUUUGAAAUGACCUGAACUCUUCCUAAAGCAUCAUAUCUGAAGGAAACCAUGCACCAUUCAUCACCAUUCACUUUGUGGUUCCAAUGGAGCUGCCUCCAGAUAAAUACAGGGAAGACCAAAGAACUGGUGAUGGAUUUCCACAGGCACAAACACACUUCAACACCACCAUUGAACAUUCAGGGAAAGGAUAUUGAGAGAGUGGACUCUUAUAAGCACCUGGGUGUUCAUCUGAACAUCAAACUUUACUGGAUAGACAAUACAGAUGCAAUUUCUAAGAAAGGGCAGAAGGAAGUCUAAGGUCUUUUGUUCUGCAGGUAGUACUACGAGUCUCAUCUUACAAAAUGUGAAUGUGAAGCACUAUGAAGCACUGUGAAUGCUAUCCGGAUGCACUGUACAUGAUUUUCUUAACAAUGAUUAGCUGAUUCAGAGACAUGAUGCUUUGAUUUUCUUCAUACUGUCCACUGUACAGUACUUAAGACAAGCUGUGCAGGUGAUCGCUCCAAAUAAUUUCAACAUUAAUGUAAAAUCUCAGCUAAGGCAACACCUAUAAAUCAAUAAGUGUUUAAUAUGAUCAAUAUGUUUUAUAUUUUGCCAGGUAAUUGACUUUAUUUCUACACUUGGCCAUUUACACAGAGAAUUAUAAAUAGUACAAAUAGGUGAGGUAAAUCUCCACUUUAGUAUUAUUAGUACCAAGACACUGGCUUUAAAAAAAAUGAGGAUUAUAUACAGUAUAGGUCAGUUCUUUUAACUAUAGAAAAAUAAACAGCAUAGAGAUGGAGGAAACAAUUCUGUUCAGUUUAAACUGUGGUAAACCAUGUCAUGUAAAAUAAACUAAAGUUGCCAUUG